rnacentral:rRNA from 1 species
UACGUAGGGGGCAAGCGUUGUCCGGACUUACUGGGCGUAAAGCGUGUGCAGGCGGGCCGCUAUGUGCCGUGUGAAAUCCCUCGGCUCAACUGAGGAAUUGCACGGGAAACUGACGGGCUUGAGUUCGGGAGAGGGAAGCGGAAUUCCGGGUGUAGCGGUGAAAUGCGUAGAUAUCCGGAGGAACACCGGUGGCGAAGGCGGCUUCCUGGACCGACACUGACGCUGAGGCGCGAAAGCUAGGGGAGCAAACGGG